rnacentral:rRNA from 1 species
CCUACGGGAGGCAGCAGUGGGGAAUAUUGCACAAUGGGGGAAACCCUGAUGCAGCGACGCCGCGUGAGUGAAGAAGUAUUUCGUUAUGUAAAGCUCUAUCAGCAGGGAAGAAAAUGACGGUACCUGAGUAAGAAGCCCCGGCUAACUACGUGCCAGCAGCCGCGGUAAUACGUAGGGGGCAAGCGUUAUCCGGAUUUACUGGGUGUAAAGGGGGCGCAGACGGCAAAGCAAGCCAGGAGUGAAAGCCCAGGGCCCAACCCCGGGACUGCUUUUGAAACUGCAUGGCUGGAGUACAGGAGGGGCAGGUGGAAUUCCUAGUGUAGCGGUGAAAUGCGUAGAUAUUAGGAGGAACACCGAUGGCGAAGGCGGCCUGCUGGACUGUGACUGACGUUGAUGCCCGAAAGCGUGGGGAGCAAACAGGAUUAGAUACCCGAGUAGUC